GAUGAACGCUGGCGGCGUGCCUAAUACAUGCAAGUCGAGCGAACGGACGAGAAGCUUGCUUCUCUGAUGUUAGCGGCGGACGGGUGAGUAACACGUGGAUAACCUACCUAUAAGACUGGGAUAACUUCGGGAAACCGGAGCUAAUACCGGAUAAUAUUUUGAACCGCAUGGUUCAAAAGUGAAAGACGGUCUUGCUGUCACUUAUAGAUGGAUCCGCGCUGCAUUAGCUAGUUGGUAAGGUAACGGCUUACCGAGGCAACGAUGCAUAGCCGACCUGAGAGGGUGAUCGGCCACACUGGAACUGAGACACGGUCCAGACUCCUACGGGAGGCAGCAGUAGGGAAUCUUCCGCAAUGGGCGAAAGCCUGACGGGGCAACGCCGCGUGAGUGAUGAAGGUCUUCGGAUCGUAAAACUCUGUUAUUAGGGAAGAACAUAUGUGUAAGUAACUGUGCACAUCUUGACGGUACCUAAUCAGAAAGCCACGGCUAACUACGUG
rnacentral:rRNA from 1 species